rnacentral:rRNA from 1 species
UACGUAGGGUGCAAGCGUUAAUCGGAAUUACUGGGCGUAAAGCGUGCGCAGGCGGUGAUGUAAGACAGGUGUGAAAUCCCCGGGCUUAACCUGGGAACUGCAUUUGUGACUGCAUCGCUGGAGUGCGGCAGAGGGGGAUGGAAUUCCGCGUGUAGCAGUGAAAUGCGUAGAUAUGCGGAGGAACACCGAUGGCGAAGGCAGUCCCCUGGGCCUGUACUGACGCUCAUGCACGAAAGCGUGGGGAGCAAACAGG